CCUACGGGGAGCAGCAGUAGGGAAUCUUCCACAAUGGGCGAAAGCCUGAUGGAGCAACGCCGCGUGGGUGAAGAAGGUCUUCGGAUCGUAAAACCCUGUUGUUAGAGAAGAAAGUGCGUGAGAGUAACUGUUCACGUUUCGACGGUAUCUAACCAGAAAGCCACGGCUAACUACGUGCCAGCAGCCGCGGUAAUACGUAGGUGGCAAGCGUUAUCCGGAUUUAUUGGGCGUAAAGGGAACGCAGGCGGUCUUUUAAGUCUGAUGUGAAAGCCUUCGGCUUAACCGGAGUAGUGCAUUGGAAACUGGGAGACUUGAGUGCAGAAGAGGAGAGUGGAAGUCAAGGUGUAGCGGUGAAAGGCGUAGAUAUAUGGAAGAACACCAGUGGCGAAAGCGGCUCUCUGGUCUGUAACUGACGCUGAGGUUCGAAAGCGUGGGUAGCAAACAGGAGUAGAUACCCCGGUAGUC
rnacentral:rRNA from 1 species